UAGCGACAGGCCUAACACAUGCAAGUCAGGGGCAGCACAAGGAGCAAUCUGAGGUGGCGACCGGCGCACGGGUGAGUAACACGUAUGCAACCUGCCUGUAAGCGGGGAAUAACCCGUUGAAAGACGGACUAAUACCGCAUAAUACUAAAUUACUGCAUGGUAAUUUAUUUAAACAUUUAUGGCUUACAGAUGGGCAUGCGCAUGAUUAGCUAGUUGGAGAGGUAACGGCUCCCCAAGGCAACGAUCAUUAGGGGUUCUGAGAGGAAGGUCCCCCACACUGGUACUGAGACACGGACCAGACUCCUACGGGAGGCAGCAGUGAGGAAUAUUGGUCAAUGGACGAGAGUCUGAACCAGCCAAGUCGCGUGCAGGAAGAAUGUCCUUAAUGGAUUGUAAACUGCUUUUUGCAGGGGAAUAAAGUGCAUCACGUGUGAUGUUUUGUAUGUACUCUGCGAAUAAGGAUCGGCUAACUCCGUGCCAGCAGCAGC
rnacentral:rRNA from 1 species